CGUAGGCGGAUAGUUAAGUCCGAUGUGAAAUACCAAGGCUCAACCUUGGGGCUGCAUCGGAAACUGGUUAUCUUGAGGACAGGAGAGGAAAGUGGAAUUCCUAGUGUAGCGGUGAAAUGCGUAGAUAUUAGGAGGAACACCAGUGGCGAAGGCGACUUUCUGGACUGUAACUGACGCUGAGGCGCGAAAGCGUGGGGAGCAAACAGGAUUAGAUACCCUGGUAGUCCACGCCGUAAACGAUGAGUGCUAGGUGUAGAGGGUAUCGACCCCUUCUGUGCCGCAGUUAACACAAUAAGCACUCCGCCUGGGGAGUACGGCCGCAAGGUU
rnacentral:rRNA from 1 species